rnacentral:rRNA from 1 species
UCCUACGGGAGGCAGCAGUGAGGAAUAUUGCGCAAUGGGCGAAAGCCAGACGCAGCAACGCCGCGUGAACGAUGAAGGCCUUCGGGUCGUAAAGUUCUUUUCAGGGGGACGAGCAGGGACGGUACCCCUGGAAUAAGUCACGGCUAACUACGUGCCAGCAGCCGCGGUAAAACGUAGGUGGCGAGCGUUAUCCGGAUUCACUGGGCGUAAAGGGCCUGCAGGCGGCUCUGUAAGUGGGAUGUGAAAUCUCCUGGCUCAACUGGGAGGGGUCAUUCCAUACUGCGGGGCUGGAGGGCAGAAGAGGGAAGUGGAAUUCCCGGUGUAGUGGUGAAAUGCGUAGAUAUCGGGAGGAACACCAGUGGCGAAGGCGACUUCCUGGUCUGCACCUGACGCUAAGAGGCGAAAGCUAGGGGAGCGAACGGGAUUAGAUACCCGGGUAGUCCC